AAGCCUGUGAGAACACGUGAAUGCAAAGCUUAGCGCUGUCGAUGCAUGAAAGACUAGAUUGAUUUCUGAAGCUCUCAAUACGUGAUUAAGUAACCCAAUACCUCGGCGCAAGCGAACGCAUUUUUGCAUUCCCUUUGCUGGCAUGGCGAGGUGCGCACGUGGUGGUGAAACAAGUCAAGGGACUCCUGAACUUCACUAACCUCCACAACAAGGUGAAGUAAACGUCAAAUUGGGAGGCAACGUGGUGUUUUAGCAUUUUGACCUCAACAAAGUGCGAAUGAGUUGACUUUUUCAUUAAAACAGCUUUCGACGGUUCAAAUUAUGAGUGAGGCGAUCCUGCUUUGCGUCUUGCCACCGACACAAUUCAGUCAAAAUUUGCCGCAGUAGAAAGAUGUCGCCUUGAUCUAAGCUUAUCAGAAUCAAAAUAAAAUCUAAGCACAGAGAUUAAAAAAUCGUUGUUUUUAGAUUGCUCACAGAAGGUUCCUGCUGGUCCUAUCUACUUUUCUGGUCGUAGUUACAAGGUAACUUUUGUGGUUAUGAUUUCAGUCUCAGUAACAAUCCGACCCGGCCGGCAUUAUUAUCAGGAUCGAAUUAUUGUUACCACGAGGUACAAUGUAAUGUGCAAUGUACAAUGUAAGUAGGUAGGGCCUAAAGUAAACCAUGAGCUUUGUAAGAACAAUGAUUCUUUUCCCUAUGAAUGCAUCCUCGUCAGAAAAGGAGUGAAUCUAGUCAGGUAUGCAGAGGGGUAAUCAACACAUCUCUCCAAUGAACCAAUACUAGAUCGUAUAAAAGUAUACUGGGUUGAAGUAUGUUUUAGGUAUGAUAUGCAUGAAUAUAAUUAUUGUAAAAUAAUUGUCCUGGAAUAGGUGAUAUUACUUACUAGAUAUGAUGUGCACUAUACUAUUCUGAAAAAUUUUCCGAAAAAACUAUCAUGCAAUUGUUUUUGUCUUGUUUCCGAUGCAGCCGCACCCCCAGAAGAUGAUAAAUCAAAUGCAGAUUAUCCUUUCAAAGAAGAGGAUGCUGUCUUCGAGUUCUGCGAAGGGAAUUUAAACUUCGCUACAGGAGCAGUGAACGAUAAUGACGAGUUCGGCUACAAUAGGAAGAAAAUCACAAGAGUAAGUCAAUUCUACUCAUUUUAUCAGUAGAGUUGGGUCAACGAAUUCUUUUACAGAAUCGUAUUUGGUGAUUGGUUCUGAUCGAUCAACAAAAUAGAAAAUCACUGACUAAAAACCAUUUUUUUCGUCGAAGAUUAACGACCCUGGUAGCACAGAUCAGAUUGAAGAUGUUUUUAAAAUGUGUCAUUGAUCCGAAAAAAUUUCUUUAAAACAUUUCAAUGAAACAUCUUGAAAACAUAUCAUGUGUCCAGACGGUUUUGAAUAGGUUUCUAAAACAACUCUAUGUCACCCCUAAAUUUUGUUUCACAGAUACGUCCGAUAGAUGUUUCUCAUACCUUUACAACACAUCUCAGUGAGGUAUCGGCACCACAAAUUCGUCGCAGAAAU
rnacentral:lncRNA from 1 species